rnacentral:rRNA from 1 species
AGAGUUUGAUCCUGGCUCAGAACGAACGCUGGCGGCAUGCCUAACACAUGCAAGUCGAACGAUGGCUUCGGCCAUAGUGGCGCACGGGUGAGUAACACGUGGGAACCUGCCUUUCGGUUCGGAAUAACGUUUGGAAACGAACGCUAACACCGGAUACGCCCUUUGGGGGAAAGUUUACGCCGAGAGAGGGGCCCGCGUCCGAUUAGGUAGUUGGUGGGGUAAUGGCCUACCAAGCCGACGAUCGGUAGCUGGUCUGAGAGGAUGAUCAGCCACACUGGGACUGAGACACGGCCCAGACUCCUACGGGAGGCAGCAGUGGGGAAUAUUGGACAAUGGGCGCAAGCCUGAUCCAGCAAUGCCGCGUGAGUGAUGAAGGCCUUAGGGNUGUAAAGCUCUUUCGCACGCGACGAUGAUGACGGNAGCGUGAGAAGAAGCCCCGGCUAAC